rnacentral:rRNA from 1 species
UUGCUGUGUAAGUCCAUUGGGAAAUCGACCAGCUCAACUGGUCGGCGUCCGGUGGAAACUACACAGCUUGGGGCCGAGAGACUCAACGGGUACGUCCGGGGUAGGAGUGAAAUCCUGUAAUCCUGGACGGACCACCAAUGGGGAAACCACGUUGAGAGACCGGACCCGACAGUGAGGGACGAAAGCCAGGGUCUCGAACCGGAUUAGAUACCCGGGUAGUCCUGGCUGUAAACAAUGCUCGCUAGGUAUGUCACGCGCCGUGAGCACGUGAUGUGCCGUAGUGAAGACGAUAAGCGAGCCGCCUGGGAAGUACGUCCGCAAGGAUGAAACUUAAAGGAAUUGGCGGGGGAGCACCACAACCGGAGGAGCCUGCGGUUUAAUUGGACUCAACGCCGGACAUCUCACCGGUCCCGACAGUAGUAAUGACAGUCAGGUUGACGACUUUACUCGAUGCUACUGAGAGGAGGUGCAUGGCCGCCGUCAGCUCGUACCGUGAGGCGUCCUGUUAAGUCAGGCAACGAGCGAGACCCACACUUCUAGUUGCCAGCAACACCCUUGUGGUGGUUGGGUACACUAGGAGGACUGCCAUUGCUAAAAUGGAGGAAGGAACGGGCAACGGUAGGUCAGUAUGCCCCGAAUGGACCGGGCAACACGCGGGCUACAAUGGCUCUGACAGUGGGAUGCAACGCCGAGAGGCGACGCUAAUCUCCAAACGGAGUCGUAGUUCGGAUUGCGGGCUGAACCC